UAUGGCUCAGUACGAACUCUGGCGGCGUGCCUAAUACAUGCAAGUCGAGCGAACAGAAGGGAGCUUGCUCCCGGAUGUUAGCGGCGGACGGGUGAGUAACACGUGGGUAACCUGCCUGUAAGACUGGGAUAACUCCGGGAAACCGGAGCUAAUACCGGAUAGUUCCUUGAACCGCAUGGUUCAAGGAUGAAAGACGGUUUCGGCUGUCACUUACAGAUGGACCCGCGGCGCAUUAGCUAGUUGGUGGGGUAAUGGCUCACCAAGGCGACGAUGCGUAGCCGACCUGAGAGGGUGAUCGGCCACACUGGGACUGAGACACGGCCCAGACUCCUACGGGAGGCAGCAGUAGGGAAUCUUCCGCAAUGGACGAAAGUCUGACGGAGCAACGCCGCGUGAGUGAUGAAGGUUUUCGGAUCGUAAAGCUCUGUUGUUAGGGAAGAACAAGUGCGAGAGUAACUGCUCGCACCUUGACGGUACCUAACCAGAAAGCCACGGCUAACUACGUGCCAGCAGCCGCGGUAAUACGUAGGUGGCAAGCGUUGUCCGGAAUUAUUGGGCGUAAAGGGCUCGCAGGCGGUUUCUUAAGUCUGAUGUGAAAGCCCCCGGCUCAACCGGGGAGGGUCAUUGGAAACUGGGAAACUUGAGUGCAGAAGAGGAGAGUGGAAUUCCACGUGUAGCGGUGAAAUGCGUAGAGAUGUGGAGGAACACCAGUGGCGAAGGCGACUUUCUGGUCUGUAACUGACGCUGAGGAGCGAAAGCGUGGGGAGCGAACAGGAUUAGAUACCCUGGUAGUCCACGCCGUAAACGAUGAGUGCUAAGUGUUAGGGGGUUUCCGCCCCUUAGUGCUGCAGCUAACGCAU
rnacentral:rRNA from 1 species